ACGAACUGUCUACAUAUGAACUGAAAUUUUAAGAAUAGGAAAAGGUAAAAGGAAAUAUUUAAGUGAUGCCAAAUUCUUGUGCACGUUAACCACUCAAAGAAGCAUAAACAAGAAUCCAAUGGUGCUAAACAGCCAAAAUAAAGGAUCCAUAGGCAAUCAUGUAGAAUUUCCAUGGAGUUUCAGGAUGUCAAUUAAUAUAGUCAUAACAAAAUUUGAGAAAAUUAUGCGCUGGGCCUUGAACAAUUGAACAUAAGAUGGCCAUAAGCCAAAAAAAAACACAAUAAGAAAUACGCAUAAUCAAGCAAAAUAAUAAGAAUUAAAUGUUGAUG
rnacentral:misc_RNA from 1 species